UCCAGUUGGGGGCCCCUCGGCCUUUGGUUCAUAGUUCAUGUGUUUCCAUUCGUUUGGCUAUUUGUCCCUGUGCUUUAUCCAACCUUGGUUUCAACAAUUCUCGCUCAUAUAAACCCUCCUCUUUUGUUUUGCACGGUCCUCUUCAAGAUGGGGUGGCUGCGGCCGGGACCAGAAAAUCCAAGGUGAGGUUCCCUGUAGCACGCAAGGGUAAUGAACUGGAAAUUUUCGGCAUGGGUAGAAGGAUUUCAUCUUUAAAAGAAGCACCUUUCCUUUCCUCAGGGAUUUCCAUUUUAAUUUAUAAUCACCCAUUGAUUUCCUGUUCUUUUUUAAUUUCCUGAUAUGCAAGCAGUUUGCUUCCUUCCUGCUCCUUGUUAGCGCUAUCCCGAGAGAUCCUGCUGUAUUUCAGACAUUUAACUAGUCAAUUUUAUGAAAGUUUACACAGUGACGCGAUGAAGGGGACUAGGUAAGAGGAAGAGUCAAGGAGUUAUGUCGUGUUGGCUCAGCUCCAUCGUCAAAGGAGGGCUGAAUGAGGUCCUUCUUACAGCCCUGUGAAAUGUUUAUUGCUCAAUGGUUCUGAAAGGUAGUGGUUUAUUACCAAAAUGUUUCAUUUGCUUACUGAGUUCCAGGCAUUUGCCUAAGCUCCCGAUUCUGUCAUUUAAGCUUUGUGAGCUAAGUUCCUUCAUUAUCUUAUUCUGCAGAUGAGGAAACAGAAGGCACAAGGAUUAAGUAGUCUUCAGAGUUAGUAAAGCCUAAGAUUUUAGAUAAAGCCUGAAUGUUCCUCCAUUCAUGUGUGACUGUAGUUAUGUUUGUUUUCAUGUGCACAUGGAUGACUUUUCAGCUUCCAACAGAAUGAAUUUACAACUCUACCAGUCUCUAGGUCCAACAUCCCCUCGUACACUUAGAGAACUUAAUGAAACCUGUAAGAGUUUUAUGCUGGGGUUUUUGUUUGCUUUUUGAUUCUUCUGAUAACUUAAAGUUGUUGAAGUUAUACUUGUUAAUUUUAGAAGUGUGGUUGCCUUAAAUGUUGAACGUGUAGGCAGACAUUGUGUUUCUUUUGGGGGACACACUGGAAGCAUGGGUUACAAAAGUCGAUCAUAUGACAACAUCUUCAGCUGGAAACGUUGCCAGGAGAAGAUCUCAUCACGUUUGCCAAGAAGUAAAUGAUGCUACUACUGAAAGUAAAGCAAGGUGCACAGAUCAGCAGCAGAAUAUCUGAAUACUCUGGAGAUUGCUAGAUGAAAACAUGAGUGAAUUUCAAACUAUAAUUACAGAAAAGGACCUUCUGGACAAGAAUGCAGUUGCUUGGGAAAUAAACAAGAUUUGAUGCCUAAGACUUCAAGAACUAUUAGAAGGGCUGGAGAGAUGGCUCAGCGGUUAAGAGCACUCAC